rnacentral:rRNA from 1 species
UGCGUAGGCGGGGCAAUUAGUCAGUGGUGAAAUCCUGCGGCUUAACCGUAGAAUUGCCAUUGAUACUGUUGUCCUUGAGUAUAGUUGAAGUGGGCGAAAUAUGUAAUGUAGCGGUGAAAUGCAUAGAGAUUACAUAGAACACCAAUUGCGAAGGCAGCUCACUAAGCUAUCACUGACGCUGAGGCACGAAAGCGUGGGGAGCGAACAGGAUUAGAUACCCUGGUAGUCC